GGCACACAGGUCUGGUUGAAAUCGGAUCACUAUAUCAUUGCCAUACAAAUUACCGGAUCUUUGUUCAAAAAACUCUACGUAGUGCAAAAUACAAACUUUCUUUGGAAAUUAAAAUUGCAUGCCAUAAUGAAGCAUCAAAGCUCUGAUGAUGUAAGGGCCUUCGACCGUCGCCUACGAGAAAUAGUUUCUAACCAGAAACCGAGUCCACGGACCUGGAGUCUAAUCUUUGCCGGUGCCGCUGCCUGCGUCGUUCUUUGUAUCUUCUACUGUUGCGGAAACCCCAACAGCAAUAGUUCUCUACCAAUGAAGAUCAUGUGCAGCCCAGUUGUCUUUUUCCUCGUUCUUGCGAUGGAAAUUUUGUUUGUCUUGAAGUGCCUGUUUCUGGAAAAGAAAAACUUUUUGAAACGUUUACGCCUGGUAUUGAACGAUUAUAGCAUGAGCUGCACCGAAUAUGGUGAACUUAUUUUACUUCCGCAAAAGCCAUAAUCAAUUUCCUGUUUAAUCAAAGUGCCAACUACACAAUACAUUCAAUACAUACAUACACACUCGUAUAUGUAUGUACAUAAUGGCUCUCUAAAACGAUUGAUUUUAUUUUAUUUGAAGGAGGUAUAAUAAUAUUGGGAAUUCGUGUAUAACGAAUCAUUGUUAUAGCCAGAAUGAAGUUAGUAUUUGCAGUGGAGGAGUAACGGAGGUAUAAAGGAUGGAACAUCGUUAUUGGGAAGAGAGGGAGAAAUGUAACCACACCAAGGCAACGAUUACCAU